CUGUACCCAGUUAUAAGGAUAAACCUAUUAUCAAGCCUCUGGAACAGGUUCUAGCUAAUAGUUUGCGGUACUUUUUGAGGAGGCCAACAACAGAGGAGGCAAGCUUUUAGUAACAUCCUAUCACAGAAGAUUGGCAUGAAUGAGGAUUCAAACUCUUAUUGAGGAGGCAGACAAUCAAUCUGUAAGAAAUUUGAAUGUAAUUUCAUUAAAUUAAAAACUAAAGAAAAGAACCUUUUCCAGUUUUAUCAUUGUAUUUCUUUUGAGGAAUUUUACCUCAAAAGAUUGUCAUGUCAAUACCGAUUUUAAUACAUGUAUAAUUGUUGGCAAUUCUUUAUUCAAA